CCUACGGGUGGCAGCAGUGGGGAAUAUUGCACAAUGGGGGAAACCCUGAUGCAGCGACGCCGCGUGAGUGAAGAAGUAUUUCGGUAUGUAAAGCUCUAUCAGCAGGGAAGAAAAUGACGGUACCUGAUUAAGAAGCCCCGGCUAACUACGUGCCAGCAGCCGCGGUAAUACGUAGGGGGCAAGCGUGAGCCGGAUGUAUUGGGCUUAAAGUUUGCGUAGGCGGAAGGUUAAGUCAGCGGUAAAAGGUCGGUGCUUAACACCGGCCUGCCGUUGAAACUGGUCUUCUUGAGUGAGCGAGAAGUACGCGGAAUGCGUGGUGUAGCGGUGAAAUGCAUAGAUAUCACGCAGAACUCCGAUUGCGAAGGCAGCAUACCGGCGCUCAACUGACGCUGAGGCCCGAAAGCGUGGGGAUCGAACAGGAUUAGAUACCCUGGUAGUC
rnacentral:rRNA from 1 species